UACAGAGGUCCCGAGCGUUGUUCGGAUUCACUGGGCGUAAAGGGUGCGUAGGUGGUGAGGUAAGUCGGAUGUGAAAUCUCCGGGCUCAACCCGGAAACUGCAUUGGAAACUACCUUGCUUGAGGGUUUGAGGGGGGACUGGAAUUCUCGGUGUAGCAGUGAAAUGCGUAGAUAUCGAGAGGAACACCUGUGGCGAAAGCGGCUCACUGGACCAUAACUGACGCUGAUGCACGAAAGCUAGGGGAGCAAACAGG
rnacentral:rRNA from 1 species